UACGGAGGGUGCAAGCAUUAAUCGGAAUUAUUGGGCGUAAAGGGCGCGUAGGCGGGAACAUAAGUCAGAUGUGAAAUUCCAGAGCUCAACUCUGGAGCUGCAUUUGAAACUGUAUUUCUUGAGGAUUGACGGAGAAAAUGGAAUUCCACAUGUAGCGGUGAAAUGCGUAGAUAUGUGGAAGAACACCGGUGGCGAAAGCGGUUUUCUAGUUAAUACCUGACGCUGAGGCGCGAGAGCAAGGGGAGCAAACAGG
rnacentral:rRNA from 1 species